GAGAAGAUCCUAUUUAGAAAUCCUGAGUGCUCGUUUAAGCCCAUCAUCUCCCCCAAGAGCCAGAAACCCAAACACCAAGCGGGCUCACUCAUUGGACUUGUCGAUUGAUGGGAUGUGGAGAGAGAGAAUAGUUGGCCAGGGUGAAAAGACGGAUGAACACCGUACCCCACUUUCCAAACAGCAGCUUGUUCAGCUGAUCAGAUCCAUCAUCCUAAUCGAAAAGAGUCACGAGCCGAGGGUCAUGACUUCAGACCUGAAGCUGCGACAGGAGGAUCUAC